UAAAGUGGCGCACGGGUGAGUAACACGUGACUAACCUACCCUCGAGUGGGGAAUAACCUAGAGAAAUCUGGGCUAAUACCGCAUAACACUUACGAGUCAAAGCAGAAAUGCGCUUGAGGAGGGGGUCGCGGCAGAUUAGCUAGUUGGCGGGGUAAUGGCCCACCAAGGCAAUGAUCUGUAUCCGGCCCGAGAGGGCGCACGGACACACUGGAACUGAAACACGGUCCAG
rnacentral:rRNA from 1 species